rnacentral:rRNA from 1 species
GAUGAACGCUGGCGGCGUGCCUAAUACAUGCAAGUCGAACGAAACUUCUUUAUCACCGAGUGCUUGCACUCACCGAUAAAGAGUUGAGUGGCGAACGGGUGAGUAACACGUGGGCAACCUGCCCAAAAGAGGGGGAUAACACUUGGAAACAGGUGCUAAUACCGCAUAACCAUAGUUACCGCAUGGUAACUAUGUAAAAGGUGGCUAUACUACCGCUUUUGGAUGGGCCCGCGGCGCAUUAGCUAGUUGGUAGGGUAAAGGCUUACCAAGGCAAUGAUGCGUAGCCGAAUUGAGAGGUUGAUCGGCCACAUUGGGACUGAGACACGGCCCAAACUCCUACGGGAGGCAGCAGUAGGGAAUCUUCCACAAUGGGCGAAAGCCUGAUGGAGCAACGCCGCGUGGGUGAAGAAGGUCUUCGGAUCGUAAAACCCUGUUGUUAGAGAAGAAAGUGCGUGAGAGUAACUGUUCACGUUUCGACGGUAUCUAACCGGAAAGCCACGGCUAACUACGUG